rnacentral:rRNA from 1 species
ACUCAAAUGAAUUGACGGGGACUUGCACAAGCAGUGGAUUAUGUGGUUUAAUUCGACGGUAAACGAAGAACCUCACCAGGGUUUGAAACCUAGUUGAAUGCAUUGGAAACAGUGCCGUCCGCAAGGACAAUUAGGCAGGUGCUGCAUGGUCGUCGUCAGUUCGUGGCUUGAGUUGUUCCCUUCAGUGGGGAAACGAACGCAACCCUCGUUGCCUGUUACAAGUGUCAGGCGAGACUGCCCACGCUCCAGUUUGAAAACGAAAGUUUUUUAAUUGAAGCGUGGGAGGAAGGCGAGGAUGACGCCAGAUCAGCAUGGCCCUCUGAUACCCUGGGCUACACACAUAAUACAAUCGCCGCUACAACGCGACGCAAUGAGGCAACUCGGAGCAAAUCGUUAGAAAAGCGGCGCCAGUUCGGAUUGGGGUCUGCAACUCGACCCCAUGAAGCCGGAAUUGCUAGUAAUCGCAGGUCAGCUAUACUGCGGUGAAUACGUUCUCAAGUCUUGUACACACCGCCCGU